rnacentral:rRNA from 1 species
GUGGGGAAUCUUAGACAAUGGGGGAAACCCUGAUCUAGCCAUGCCGCGUGAGCGAUGAAGGCCUUAGGGUUGUAAAGCUCUUUCAGCUGGGAAGAUAAUGACGGUACCAGCAGAAGAAGCCCCGGCUAACUCCGUGCCAGCAGCCGCGGUAAUACGGAGGGGGCUAGCGUUGUUCGGAAUUACUGGGCGUAAAGCGCGCGUAGGCGGACCAGAAAGUUGGAGGUGAAAUCCCAGGGCUCAACCUUGGAACUGCCUUCAAAACUCCUGGUCUGGAGUUCGAGAGAGGUGAGUGGAAUUCCGAGUGUAGAGGUGAAAUUCGUAGAUAUUCGGAGGAACACCAGUGGCGAAGGCGGCUCACUGGCUCGAUACUGACGCUGAGGUGCGAAAGCGUGGGGAUCGAACAGGAUUAGAUACCCUAGUAGUCC